GGCGACCGGCGCACGGGUGCGGAACGCGUAUGGAACCUGCCCCUGUCAGGGGAAUAGCCCAGGGAAACUUGGAUUAAUGCCCCAUGGUACCGCGAUAUCGCAUGAUAUUGCGGUUAAAGAUUUAUCGGACAGGGAUGGCCAUGCGUACCAUUAGUUAGUUGGUGGGGUAACGGCCCACCAAGGCAGCGAUGGUUAGGGGCCCUGAGAGGGGGAUCCCCCACACUGGUACUGAGACACGGACCAGACUCCUACGGGAGGCAGCAGUGAGGAAUAUUGGACAAUGGGCGGGAGCCUGAUCCAGCCAUGCCGCGUGCAGGAUGACGGCCCUAUGGGUUGUAAACUGCUUUUAUACGGGAAGAAAUGCGCCCACGUGUGGGCGUCUGACGGUACCGUAAGAAUAAGGACCGGCUAACUCCGUGCCAGCAGCCGCGGUAAUACGGAGGGUCCGAGCGUUAUCCGGAAUCAUUGGGUUUAAAGGGUCCGUAGGCGGGCCUGUAAGUCAGGGGUGAAAGUUUGUGGCUCAACCAUAAAAUUGCCUUUGAUACUGCAGGUCUUGAGUCAUGGUGGGGUCGCCGGAACAUGUGGUGUAGCGGUGAAAUGCAUAGAUAUCACAUAGAACACCGAUCGCGAAGGCAGGUGGCCAACCAUGU
rnacentral:rRNA from 1 species